rnacentral:miRNA from 10 species
GGCAUCUAUUAGGUUGAUACAAAAGUAAUUGCAGUUUUUGCCAUUACUUUCAAAUAGUAAAAACCACAGUUACCUUUGCACCAGCCUAAUAGU